rnacentral:rRNA from 1 species
CGGACGGGUGAGUAACGCGUGGGGAACCUGCCCUGUACCGGGGGAUAGCAGCCGGAAACGGCUGAUAAUACCGCAUAAGCGCACGAAUGUCGCAUGACAUGGUGUGAAAAACUCCGGUGGUAUAGGAUGGACCCGCGUCUGAUUAGCCUGUUGGUGGGGUAAAAGCCUACCAAAGCGAAGAUCAGUAGCCGAGUUGAGAGACUGACCGGCCACAUUGGGACUGAGACACGGCCCAGACUCCUACGGGAGGCAGCAGAC